UACGUAGGCAGCAAGCGUUGUUCGGAAUUACUAGGCGUAAAGAGUGUGUAGGCGGCGCUCUAAGUUUGGUGUGAAAUCUCCCGGCUCAACUGGGAGGGUGCGCCGAAAACUGGAAUGCUUGAACGUGGGAGAGGAAAGCGGAAUUCCUGGUGUAGCGGUGAAAUGCGUAGAUAUCAGGAGGAACACCUGCGGUGUAGACGGCUUUCUGGACCAUUGUUGACGCUGAGACACGAAAGCGUGGGUAGCAAACAGG
rnacentral:rRNA from 1 species